UCUAUUAUCCUUCAAGGUGUCAAAUAUUGUUUGGUCUCAAUAAUAUGCUUGCGGCAACAAAAUAUAUCACCUAAUUUGAUUUAGCAACCUCCUCAUUAUCUCAAAAAAGAUCACAAUUACAACAAAAGCUAAAUCGUGUUUCACUUUACAAACUCAAGCUCCAUCCCUUAAGAGUUAACAGAAAUAAUAACAUUCUUACUUGUAGGAGACUUACACCACGACAAUUGAUUUCACACACUAUUAUC
rnacentral:lncRNA from 1 species